UNGCGCCUACAUGCAGUCGAGCGGUAACAGAAAGUAGCUUGCUACUUUGCUGACGAGCGGCGGACGGGUGAGUAAUGCUUGGGAACAUGCCUUGAGGUGGGGGACAACAGUUGGAAACGACUGCUAAUACCGCAUAAUGUCUACGGACCAAAGGGGGCUUCGGCUCUCGCCUUUAGAUUGGCCCAAGUGGGAUUAGCUAGUUGGUGAGGUAAUGGCUCACCAAGGCGACGAUCCCUAGCUGGUUUGAGAGGAUGAUCAGCCACACUGGGACUGAGACACGGCCCAGACUCCUACNGGAGGCAGCANUGGGGAAUAUUGCACAAUGGGCGCAAGCCUGAUGCAGCCAUGCCGCGUGUGUGAAGAANGCCUUCNGGUUGUAAAGCACUUUCAGUCANGAGGAAAGGUUAANGGUUAAUACCCGUUAGCUGUGACGUUACUGACANAAGAAGCACCGGCUAACUCCGUGCCAGCAGCCGCGGUAAUACGGAGGGUGCNAGCGUUAAUCGGAAUUACUGGGCGUAAAGC
rnacentral:rRNA from 1 species